ACUCAAAGGAAUAGACGGGGACCCGCACAAGCGGUGGAGUAUGUUCUUUAAUUCGAUGCUACGCGAGAAACCUUACCGACCCUUGACAUGUCACACGCGAUUUCCAGAGAUGGAUUUCUUCAAUUCGGUUGGUGUGAACACAGAUGCUGCAUGGCUGUCGUCAGCUCGUGUCGUGAGAUGUUAGGUUAAGUCCUGCAACGAGCGCAACCCACAUCCUUUGUUGCCAUCGGGUAAUGCCGGGCACUCUUGGGAAACUGCCCGCGUCAAGCGGGAGGAAGGUGUGGACGACGUCAAGUCAUCAUGGUUCUUACGGGUCGGGCUAGAAACGUACUACAAUGGCGAUAACAAUGGGUCGCAAUGCCGCAAGGCAAAGCCAAUCCUUAAAGAUCGCCCCAGUUCGGAUUGUCCUCUGCAACUCGAGGGCAUGAAGUCGGAAUCGCUAGUAAUCGCUGAUCAGAAUGCAGCGGUGAAUACGUUCCCGGGUCUUGUACACACCGCCCGU
rnacentral:rRNA from 1 species